GGCAGCCGCGGUAAUUCCAGCUCCAAUAGCGUAUAUUAAAGUUGCUGCAGUUAAAAAGCUCGUAGUUGAAUUUCGGGAUCAAUAUGUUGGUCGUGCCUCGGUACGUACUAGCUUAUUGGUUUCUCCCUUCUGACGAACCAUGAUGUCAUUUAUUUGGUGUUAUGGGGAAUCAGGACUGUUACUUUGAAAAAAUUAGAGUGUUUAAAGCAGGCUUACGCUUGAAUACAUUAGCAUGGAAUAAUGAAAUAGGACGUUUGAUUCUAUUUUGUUGGUUUCUAGGAUCGACGUAAUGAUUAAUAGGGAUAGUUGGGGGCAUUAGUAUUCAAUUGUCAGAGGUGAAAUUCUUGGAUUUAUUGAAGACUAACUACUGCGAAAGCAUUUGCCAAGGAUGUUUUCAUUAAUCAAGAACGAAAGUUAGGGGAUCGAAGACGAUCAGAUACCGUCGUAGUCUUAACCAUAAACUAUGCCGACUAGGGAUCGGAUGAUGUAAUUUUUAAUGACUCA
rnacentral:rRNA from 1 species